UGCUGGUUGUCUGGGUGAUGAGGUACCUGGAAAAGUAUUGUAUCUUGUGGUUUUGAGCCGAAUGUGUCAUACCUGGUGGGUAGUCAAAUGUGCUCUUCAGCCUGUGACAAUGUAACAGGGUCUCAUGUCAAAAGAUGAGGCAUUCUGUCAACCCUCAGGUGGCCGUGUUGGUAGAGGCACUGUAGGAAAACAGGCCCCUGACCAACAGGCCAGGCCAUUCACCACUACCAAGGAGGCCACAUGUCCACACAGAAGAAGGUUGAAGAACUUGAGUCCCUUUUCCCUCCCCCUCUAUGAGUGGAACAAUAUUCCAGACAGACGUUCUUCCCCCACCCUGGGUCACGGAGGGAAGACAACACACAAUAAACACGUAACAUGA